rnacentral:rRNA from 1 species
AUUGAACGCUGGCGGAAUGCUUUACACAUGCAAGUCGAACGGCAGCACGGACUUCGGUCUGGUGGCGAGUGGCGAACGGGUGAGUAAUAUAUCGGAACGUGCCCAGUCGUGGGGGAUAACGUAGCGAAAGUUACGCUAAUACCGCAUACGAUCUAAGGAUGAAAGCGGGGGAUCGCAAGACCUCGCGCGAUUGGAGCGGCCGAUAUCAGAUUAGGUAGUUGGUGGGGUAAAGGCUCACCAAGCCAACGAUCUGUAGCUGGUCUGAGAGGACGACCAGCCACACUGGAACUGAGACACGGUCCAGACUCCUACGGGAGGCAGCAGUGGGGAAUUUUGGACAAUGGGCGAAAGCCUGAUCCAGCCAUUCCGCGUGCAGGAUGAAGGCCCUCGGGUUGUAAACUGCUUUUGUACAGAACGAAAAGGUUUCUACUAAUACUAGGAGCUCAUGACGGUACUGUAAGAAUAAGCACCGGCUAACUACGUGCCAGCAGCCGCCGUAA